rnacentral:sRNA from 1 species
CUGAAAAAGUUUUUAAUCACAAUGCAUGCACUUCCAGUUUGAAGUUGCUUAUGAUAAGAUGCAUAGGAAUGUAACAAUAAACUGGAAAGUUUUUUGCUGACUUUCCGUACAAAAUAAACCAUCAAACGAACAUCAUCACAACUCCAGGUAGCUCAUCGGUGGAAGAACAGAAAUUCUGUUAGAUCGAAUCAACCACAGACAAACCCCAAGUCCU